GACGAACGCUGGCGGCGUGCUUAACACAUGCAAGUCGAACGGAAAGGCCCUGCUCUUGUGGGGUGCUCGAGUGGCGAACGGGUGAGUGACACGUGAGUAACCUGCCCUUGUCUUUGGGAUAUCUUCAGGAAACUGGGGCUAAUACCGGAUAGGAGCUCUUGCUGCAUGGUGGGGGUUGGAAAGUUUCGGCGGUUGGGGAUGGAUUCGCUGCUUAUCAGCUUGUUGGUGGGGUAGUGGCUUACCAAGGCUUUGACGGGUAGCCGGCCUGAGAGGGUGGCCGGCCACAUGGGGCCUGAGAUACGCAGCAGAAUGGUACGGGAGGCAGUAGGGGGGAACAUGGCGGAACGGGCGGAAGCGUGAGACAGAAAUGCUGGGAGCGGGAAGACGGCCUACGGGGUGUAAACAGCUGUCGAAUGAGACGAAGCGGGAGUGACGGUAAUGGGUAAGAAAGCACCGGCUAACUACGUG
rnacentral:rRNA from 1 species